GACGAACCGUGCGAACGUUGUUCGGAAUCACUGGGCAUAAAGGGCGCGUAGGCGGCUUUUCAAGUCAGGGGUGAAAUCCGGCAGCUUAACUGUCGAAGUGCCCUUGAUACUGAUGAGCUCGAGGGUGGUAGGGGUAUGUGGAACUUCCGGUGGAGCGGUGAAAUGCGUUGAUAUCGGAAGGAACGCCGGUGGCGAAAGCGACGUACUGGACCUCUUCUGACGCUGAGGCGCGAAAGCUAGGGGAGCAAACGGG
rnacentral:rRNA from 1 species